ACUUAAAUAAUUUAAUUUAAAAUAUCAGUUUGUGAUUCUGGUUAUGUAUAUUUUUACUUUAGGUA
rnacentral:tRNA from 1 species